UUUAAAAUGCUGAAAACCCCCUUUCUUUCCCCGAUCCCAAACCUCUCCUCACGCCGUUCUCUUCUCUUCUCCCUCACUCGCCGCUUUCCCUUCUCUAUGCGAAGCCAGGUCACUGCCGACCGCCUCAAGUUGACCACUGCUGAUCGACGUGGUGCUACUCGUCACCGGUGAAACUCCUCAGCAUUGUCGUCGACUCUCGCGGGCCGCCUCUCAGCACCGACCCGAGCCGAGCCGAGCCCUCCUCUUCGUCACCGGCGUAGAUUUGGCCAUCGCCUUCCCAGACCUGGCUGCAGACACCUAGUAAUCGUUAAGAGCAGAGCUAAGCCCUAACCCCAAACCGGAGACCUCCCGAUCCUUCACAGCUAACCACCGAACUUGAGCCCUAGCUGCCUCUCAUGGAUGUCGAUCGCUCUCCUCAUCACCGGAUCUGAGAUCAAGGAGAUCUGUUGCUCUAGGCUUGAUCUUGGAGGUUUCGGCCACCAAAGCUUCAAUUGGGGAUUGGUUCCUUCAUCGGUUCUAUAAUCAACACCAGUGAUUGAAGUGGAAGAGGACUAUGAUUUGAGACGAGUAUUUUGACGGAAGGUUUCUGGACACGAUCUACGUAUAAAGGCGG